rnacentral:rRNA from 1 species
UAGGUGAACCUGCGGUAGGAUCAUUGCCGGUUCCUAGCCAUGAACUGUGUAGGGGAGGUGGCACGCGCGGCCCCGUCGAGCUAGUCGCCUCCCCGCCCCCCGCUCUCUCCAGCGUCGGGAUCGGAGCCCUCCCGGGAGCUUGGCCGUGCUGCGGCCGGCCCCGGGCAAUCUCCGCGUCCCUCGCCUGAGGUUCGGGGUAAUAAUCCGGGGGCGCGCUCGAGUGCCGUCCUCCUCGCGGUGAAGCGAUUCAGGGUGUCAGUAUCCGACGGCAACGGGUGCACCCGUGCGCCGGGGCAGUCUUGGCCCUGUUGUUAACCGGAGUGGCCUAGUCGCUUCCCUUCGAGGGUCGGUUCCUCGGGAGAGCUCCCGCAGCAGCCCGCAUGGCGUCGCCUUCUCGGCGUGGCCUGCGAGUCACAGCUGCAACCCCCCGUUGCGUCUCUGGACGUUGCGGGGCGGGGACACCACCCUUUCUGCGAUGCCUCCCGUGAGGCUUCUCAGCCUCUGGGCACCGGUGGGGGCGAUCGCGGGACGGGGCGUGUGUCACAAACACUUAACCCAUCGGUGCAACUCGCGCCAAGGAACGAAAGGAUAGCCGCGCGGGACUCACGCCGUGCGCGUGUCGGAUCCCCGGCCCAAUGUGAACACGACUCUCGGCAACGGAUAUCUCGGCUCUCGCCACGAUGAAGAAUGUAGCGAAAUGCGAUACUUAGUGUGAAUUGCAGAAUCCCGUGAAUCAUCGAGUCUUUGAACGCAAGUUGCGCCCGAGGCCUCGGCCGAGGGCACGUCUGCUUGGGCGUCGCACUCCGAAAUCGCCCCCCCACCGUUCUUCGGCGGGAGGAGCGGAGAUGGUCGUCCGUGCCCGCCAUGGGCGCGGUCGGCUGAAAUGAGCACGAGGUCCGUGGCCCACUCCACGACGAGCGGUGGCCCAUGAGGGUCGGCGUUGGUUCGUGUCGGGCGGGUGCGGCUCUGUGGGCAAACUUUAUCGCGUGGCCGGUGUCCCGCUUGCGGGCGGGGCCCGUUCGCAACCUUCCGCGUCCCC